rnacentral:lncRNA from 1 species
UGCUUCUCCCUCUGCCUGUGUCUCUGCCUCUCUUUCUCUCUGCAUCUCUAGGAAUAAAUAAAUAAAUAAAUCUUAAAAAAAAAAAAGAUUACUGUUCAGAACAAAGUAUUUCCAUAGAUGUCAAUGGGAAGAAUAGGUUACCGAGAAGACUAUAGGAGAGGGAACAGAAUGGAACCAGUUGUUUUUCUGACUUAUAUUCAAUUUUUUAGGAAUCUCAAAAUCAAGCAAAUGGGUUCCACCACCUGGCCACUUUUUGGAAGACAAUACUCUGGUCCCUGAGGCAAAAGCUGAAUCCUCUGAAUCAGAAUACUUCUCCUGCUAUUCCUCCUUGAGUUAUCUGCUUUCUGCUGGAAUCUCAAAAUCAAGAAAAUGGGAUCCACCACCUGGCCACUUUUUGGGAGACAAUACUCUGGUCCCUGAGGCAAAAGCUGAAUCCUCUGAAUCAGAAUACUUCUCCUGCUAUUCCUCCUUGAGUCAUCUGUCUUCUGCUGGAAUCUCAAAAUCAAGCAAAUGGGAUCCACCACCUGGCCACUUUUUGGAAGACAAUACUCUGGUCCCUGAGGCAAAAGCUGAAUCCUCUGAAUCAGAAUACUUCUCCUGCUAUUCCUCCUUGAGUCAUCUGUCUUCUGCUGGUAAGGGGAAAGGAAAAGCCUGCAAAGUCUGGGCAGAUUAGGGCAGUGGGAGCCUGAACAGACUGGUAGACAUCCAGCUCAGCAUCUCUCAGUGAGUGGGAGAAAGGUACACAUCACACCCAUUUAUAAUGUUAUCCUCAGCUCUUAUUUGGGGAUCUGAGUCUCUUGUUCUUGUAUCACUAGGAACUGAAUACAAACAGUUUUCAUGGGGCAGCCCAGGUGGCUCAGCAGAUUAGGGCCUCAUUCAGCCUGGGGCCUGAUCCAGGAGACCUGGGAUCCAGUGCCAUGUCGGGCUCCCUGCAUGGAGCCUGCUUCUCCCUCUGCCUGUCUCUCUCUCUCUCUCUCUCUCUCUCUCUGUCAUGAAUAAAUAAGUAAAUAAUCUAAAAAAACA